rnacentral:rRNA from 1 species
ACGAACGCUGGCGGUGUGCUUAACACAUGCAAGUCGAACGAGAAAGUUUCCUUCGGGAAGCUAGUAAAGUGGCGCAAGGGUGAGUAACACGUGAAUAAUCUGCCCUCGAGAUCGGGAUAACCUGAGGAAACUUAGGCUAAUACCGGAUAAGACCACGUCCCGCAAGGGAUGCGGGAAAAGGAGGCUCAACCUCCACUUGGGGAUGAGUUCGCGGACCAUUAGCUUGUUGGUGAGAUAACAGCUCACCAAGGCUACGAUGGUUAACCGGCCUGAGAGGGUGAACGGUCACACUGGAACUGAGACACGGUCCAGACUCCUACGGGAGGCAGCAGCGGGGAAUAUUGCGCAAUGGGCGAAAGCCUGACGCAGCAACGCCGCGUGAUCGAAG